GAUAAAAUGGCUACUGACUGGACCUUGCAGCUGAAUGAGAAGAAACAACAAAUCAGCCUUAAAUACCUGAAGGAUACCAUGCUUUGGGCUUUCCCAUGUCAGUUCUUGUAACUGAUCUGUCCUCAUGCCUGUGAAAUUGUGAAUUGUGAAAGGUCUCUUAACAUAUCUGGGAACUAAAUGGUUAAGCAUUGAUGUCACUUCAAAGUUAUGGAGGUAGUACGUGACAUGAGAGCUGAGAUUAAUGUCCACUUCUCAUCAACACUGGAGUUGAGGGUUCCACCACAUUUAUUAGAGAGUGGCUGGGUAGAGGCAUAAAUAACCAAAAUCAUUGGAAAAGGAGAGCAAAGUUACAAAGACAAAGUAGACUUAAAAAAAAAAAGAAAUUUUGUUUGUAACCUGCAGCCUCCGAGCAUUUGCUCCUCAGCACCAAGAGCAUCAAGCCUGCAG